rnacentral:rRNA from 1 species
GUCAGCAGCCGCGGUAAUACCGGCGGCUCGAGUGGUGGCCACUUUAUUGGGCUUAAAGCGUUCGUAGCUGGGUCGUUAAGUCUCUUGGGAAAUCCGGCAGCUUAACUGUCGGGCGUCUAAGAGAUACUGGCGAUCUUGGAACCGGGAGAGGUGAGGGGUACUUCGGGGGUAGGAGUGAAAUCCUGUAAUCCUCGAGGGACCACCUGUGGCGAAGGCGCCUCACCAGAACGGCUUCGACAGUGAGGGACGAAAGCUGGGGGAGCAAACCGGAUUAGAUACCCGGGUAGUCCCAGCCGUAAACGAUGUGCGUUAGGUGUAUCGACGACCACGAGUCGUCGAGGUGCCGAAGGGAAACCGUGAAACGUACCGCCUGGGAAGUACGGUCGCAAGGCUGAAACUUAAAGGAAUUGGCGGGGGAGCACCACAACAGGUGGAGCCUGCGGUUUUAAAUUGGACUCAACGCCGGGAAGCUCACCGGAUAAGGCAGCUGAAUGAUUGCCGGGCUGAAGACUCUGCAUGACUAGCUGAGAAGAGGUGCAUGG